rnacentral:misc_RNA from 1 species
UCCCAGUUUCCCGGGCAGUCUCGCCAGAGUGCCUCCCGAAGGAGUAGCAACUGACGACAGGGGUUGCGCUCGUUAAAGGACUUAACCCAACAUCUCACGACACGAGCUGACGACAGCCAUGCAGCACCUGUUCAUAUGUCUUGGUUUCCCAAGAAAACCAUGUUUCUAUGGCGGUCAUAUGUAUGUCAAGCCUAGGUAAGGUUUCUCGCGUAGUGUCGAAUUAAACCACAUGUUCCACCGCUUGUGCGGGCCCCCGUCAAUUUCUUUAAGUUUUAGUCUUGCGACCGUAGUCCUCAGGCGGAUCACUUAACGCGUUAGCUUCGAUACACAACCGUAAACCGGCCAUACAUCUAGUGAUCAUCGUUUACAGCGUGGACUAC